GUGGGGAGAAGGACGAGCAGCGAGCGUGAGAGAGACGUACCUCCAACCAGUGAGCGCAGAGGUCCAGUGUGGAGGCGGGACCAGGAUGCAGUUCGCCAGGCCGCGGUUGGCCAGAGAUCGGAGGAGGCGGGCUCUGUGUGAGUCUCCGCCCAUUCCAGACAUCGGCUGGGCGGGAGGGCGGCGCCCGGGCCGCUGCGUUGUAGCUCCUCAGGUUGGGGAAGCUCUCCACUUCAUACUGGGUGAGCAGAAACUAAGACCAUAGCAAUGACCAAGUCCUACAUGAAAAGAUUGUCCUUUGCCCUUCUUGAUGCGGUCACCGACAAGGACCCUGUGGUGCAGGAGCAGGUUUGCAGUGCUCUGUGCUCCCUUGGGGAGGUGCGGCCAACAGAGAUGCUCCACGCCUGUGAGGAGUACCUGAAGCAGCAUGACAAGGUACCUCUCCCCUCAAUGACUGUGAUGCCAAUGACUAGUUUGGGAGAUGAUGGCCAGUCAGAGGCAGAGGGUAGUGCUGAGGUAGUCUAUUGGCAGAACUGCCCACUUGCAUUCUCGCGACACCAGUAUUUCAGGACUAGGUAUUUCAAGACACCUUUUCUUUUUUUUUUUUUCUUUUGGUACCGGGGAUCGAACUUGGGUCCUUGCGCUUGCGAGACAGGCAGUGGAACCACUGAGCUAAAUCCCCGGCCCCCACCUUUUCUUGUUACACUUGAUCUUAGCCAAAAGGCCAAGAAACAAUGAGACACCUCGUCUUGUUGCAUGUGGACUAUGACUGUAUCCCCCACGAACUGAUGGUCCCAUUGUGAGGGACUAGGCUGAUACUCAGCAGUCAGUGCUUGGGAGUAGAGGAUGCUUUCUGUCCAUCUUUGCUUACUCAAUGAAGACUGAGUGGUCUUCUUGUCUGAGGAAAGGCAGAUGUUUUUGAGUCUUAACAGCUCGAGUGUGCAGGGGCUUUGUUAAGGGCUUGAAAGUCCCAGGACCCUGCCUUUCCCUGGAGUGCUGGUCUAGGUGGUCUAUGGCUGGUCAGAAGAGCUUCUCCCAGGAGGGGAAUAGGGCCUUCUCCUUCAAUUUCCUUUACCC
rnacentral:lncRNA from 1 species